AUCCAGAGGGUGCAAGCGUUAAUCGGAUUUCCUGGGCGUAAAGCGCGCGUAGGUGGCUAAUUAAGUCAAAUGUGAAAUCCCCGAGCUUAACUUGGGAAUUGCAUUCGAUACUGGUUAGCUAGAGUAUGGGAGAGGAUGGGAGAAUUCCAGGUGUAGCGGGGAAAUGCGGAGAGAUCUGGAGGAAUAACGAUGGCGAAGGCAGCCAUCUGGCCUAAUACUGACACUGAGGUGCGAAAGCAUGGGGAGCAAACAGGAUUAGAUACCCUGGUAGUCCAUGCCGUAAACGAUGUCUACUAGCCGUUGGGGCCCUUGAGGCUUUAGUGGCGCAGCUAACGCGAUAAGUAGACCGCCUGGGGAGUACGGUCGCAAGACUAAAACUCAAAUGAAUUGGCGGGG
rnacentral:rRNA from 1 species